rnacentral:rRNA from 1 species
UACGUAGGGAGCAAGCGUUGUCCGGAAUCAUUGGGCGUAAAGAGCGCGUAGGCGGUCCGGUAAGUCGGUUGUGAAAACUGGGGGCUCAACCCUCAGAGGCCGACCGAUACUGCCGGGCUAGAGUCCGGAAGAGGCGAGUGGAAUUCCUGGUGUAGCGGUGAAAUGCGCAGAUAUCAGGAGGAAUACCGGUGGCGGAAGGCGCAUCCUGGACCGGCAAUUGACGCUGAGGAGCGAAAGCCAGGGGAGCAAACAGG